AUGGUGGGUUUUUUUGCUGCUUGUGAGAUAGUAGUCCUUUGUUGCUGUUUAAAAUUUCAGCUAUCAAUGAUCUUCAACUCACGCUUGUGAUGUAUCUACACUGGAUGUUAGCAACUUGAUAGUAUUUUCUGGGAUAGGAUUUUUCACUACUGAGGCUGAGUAAUUCUUGUGUUGCUCAUCACAUAAGAUGCAUGGAGCUGUUCCAGUCACUUGCUGCCUAUGUGACUGCUGGAGCUACCUGGGAGCCAUAAGGCAACUUGAUUGAUUCACGCAGAGACAUGCAGCAAGCACGAGUUAAUAGUUCUGGGCCGAGUCUUGGCGUUCACAUGCUGCUGCCCUUACAUCUGCCACUGUAGCCGGAGGAGAAGGGAGGGAUGGAGGGGUGAGUCACUGCCCAAGGCAUCAUCUAUAGCAUCUUCU